rnacentral:tRNA from 1 species
GGGCCGGUGGCGCAGUUGGUAGCGCGCCUCGAUGGCAUCGAGGAGGUCGUGGGUUCGAAUCCCAUCCGGUCCA